rnacentral:lncRNA from 1 species
AAUUAAUUAAAAGAACCGAAAUCAGAAGACACCCAAACCCUCCUCUCUCUAGAAAUCCCUCCCCCUCUCUCUAAAAUCACUCUCUGCUAAAAUUUCCCCAAAAUGUGAAUCUCAAUCGGUUUCUAUUUCUUGCCCAAUAACGAUUUCGCUGCUUAAUGGAGGAGAUAACAAGCUUCAUCCAUCCUAACCAUUCAUAGAAUUACUUAACCAUUCAUAUAACAGAUCGACGCUUGACAGGUUUUUUCCCCCUCCUCUGUAAGUGUUCAAAUCCCUAAUAUUUUCCUUUUUCUUUUAGGAACAAAAAUAUCAUAAAGUUGUUGUUCAAAUCUAUAUCGAUUUUGGGUUUUUGGCCGCGGGAAAUUGAACAUGAACUUCUCGGUAUGCCUCCACUGCUUCGCAAAAGGAAAAAAACAGUUUUCGAGUAAAAUAUUGCAACGAUUUGGGAACUAAAUUUUCGACUUAGGUCACUACUUGUAUUGGGGGGGGGGGGGGAGCAUAAAAAAAGAAAGAAUAUGGCAAAAUUUUCAACAUUCAGUUAGGGAUUAUUGUUAUUUCAGUGAUUUUACAUUUUCAUUCUUAGAUUUCAUCUCGAAUUUCUCUGAACCAUUUGAUAAUCUACAGGAAUACAAAAAACACCUGCACAGAAAGACUCAUUUGAGGCCUAUUUGGUGUUGUUGAUUUUCAGUCUUGACAGAACUCGACUAUCUUAGUUUGGGUAAGUUAAAAGCUUCUUGUUCAGAGACCUAUUGCAUGUUGGUAUUUCAUUCUAAUUUUUUUUUCCUUUUAUGGCUAUAUGCCUAAAUCAGUAGA